ACAGCAAAUGGAACAGUCUAUUCUUGGGGAGUAGGGGUGGAUGGACAGCUUGGUCAUGGAGAAGAUGUUACUUAUCUCGCUCAACCAAAAGCCUUGGCGGAUGAUGUAUUCCCUGGUAGAGUGGCACAAGUGGCUUGUGGAGAUUCAUACAGUGCUGCACUGCUUGGUGAUGGCUCCCUCUACAUGUGGGGAAAGAGCAGUCAUGUUAUACAGGCUGACCAGCCUUCCUUGCAGAAGGUAUUCCGACCUGUUGGUAUUCCCCUGAAAGGACGUUCCGUUGCCAUGGUUUCCUGUGGUUCAUGGCAUACAGCAGCAAUCACAGGAAAACCAGGUCUGUAAAAAAAUACUCUUCAAAACAGUAGAAUAGAAAAUAAUAAGACUUGUAAGAAAUGAAAGGAGCUAUCAUGUCAAAAUAAUGCAGUAUAAUUCCACCCUAUGGCAUAGUUGUGCAUAAUAUCCCGUCAUUUGGGACCUAAAUUCAUACAAAGUAGGUUUAAACCAUUGCUUCUUUUUAACUCUCAUGAGGAUUUGUAGAUGUGAAUAAAGCAUGUAUAACCUACGGUUUAUGAACAUUGAUUUUAAAAAGUAAUUAGACUUUAUGCUUUAAAAAAAUGUAUGUUUGCUCAAAUGAAGGGUAAAAUGAAGAAAUUGGUCUGUCUUUAAUAUCGUUUAAUAUAAAAAGAGAUCCUGAAUAAUAAAUCCACCGUUUCUACAACCAUUUGUCAGUUUAUAUCAACUUUAUUUUGUAAACAGAAUAAAUGUUGAAAAAAUGUAUGAAUGUUAGGGUUGGUCAACAAAAUUAUUCUUUGGGGUUAAAUUGGAUUAAAGAAGGGUUUUGGACAUUCAUGGUGAGAUCAAAUCUUUUCAUUGAUUAAAACCCAAUCCUCUGUUCAAUUUCAGGUGAACACGUUAAAUCCACCAGAAGUUGCAAAGUGUGCAAUUAAAUACUGACAUUGAUUGGAUAAAAGUAAUGUUUGAAUUUGAUAUUUCCAAAUUCAAUAAAAUAUUUCUAGCAUAGACUGACAUUUGCGAUUAGUAUUACAAAUCCAAAAAGCAGUGAUUUUGUGCUGCUUUUCUGUACAAAAGAAAUUUUUCAGAAAGUAUUAUUUCAAAAGCAUAUUUGUCUUUUUAUUUUUUAUUAUUGUGAGAAAUUGCAUUUGUUAUCAUGAAUUUUGUCAAUUUGAGGGGUCUAUAAUUGUCAAUCACUGCCUUGCUUUAUUGUACUAGACAUGUAACCUGUUGGAGACAGGAUGAUUGUGCUUUAACACACAUUUUCUGUAGAUAACGUAGAAUACAUAUAUUUGGGCUUUAAUUGAAGUCAGAAAAUAAGCUCUUGGAAUUCAGAUUGCAUUUAUUUAUUGUCUCGCCCACCAGAGGUGAAGGCGAGACUUAGGGAUCCAAAUGUCGUCCGUCCGUCACAAACCUUAUGACACAUAACUCCGCAACUGUAAGUCACCUUUCAACCAAACUUGGGUGGUAGAUGUACUUGGGAGACCUGCAUGUUUUGCUGCAGUCGGAGGUCAUAUGGUAAGGUCAAAGGUCAUUUUCAGGUCAACAUUAAAGUUUACAUGCAAGACCUCUUAUGACAAGUGUUAUUCCAUCCCAGUCAUUUCACAAUGAAGUUUCGAUGCAAUUCUGUUGCGUGACCUCGCAAAUCACGAUAUUUCUAGUUAUUUUCAUAAGUGGGCGAGACACAAAAUUCCUUAUGCCUUGUUUUGUUAGUUCCGAUUUAUAGAAUAACAAUUGGCCCACUUAUUAUUGAAUUGUUCAAUUCCCAUAAUCUUUCUACAGAGCUAGAGCUUUUAGUUCCAGAAGUCAAUGUGUUAAGCAAAUACUACGUUAACAAACUGGUGUUAUUGAAAAUGAAUGCCUUAGCAGACAGUUCAUUGAACCUUAUGCAGAAAAAAGCGCACAAGAUCAAAGAAAUCAAACUCCCUCGAAGCUAUGAAAGGGGAGGAGAAUAAACACUUAAAAGAUACAAUACUUCCAUUAUAUUCUGACCUAAUAAUUUUCACAAGUCUUUGUGUAUAAACUACAAAAAAUAAAAGAGGGGAGGAACAGAAUAAAGAGGAUGAAAUAUCCUCUCUACAUCUCUUUCUUGACGCAAUUGAGAGUAUAAAGGAUAAAACAAAAUAGAUAAAAAGAAAGUAUAUUGUAUACUGUGCCCUAGAGGGCAUAGGAUAGUGCAGUUGUCCGUCAGUAUUCUUAUGGCGGUCGCAAAUUACAACCCUGGGGCUGUUGUCAUCAUUGUAUGCCUUUCAGACAACCAAUUGAAGAACGGACUGAUAGAGAGAAGGAAUCUAGAAUGACCAAUAGACAUAUGAUUGCUGUCUCUUUUGUUAUCGUCCGUGACAAUAUGAUGACCGGCAUUGAUUUGCUCGGUCGGGGUUUUGAUUUCUAUUACCGAUCGUAAUGCCACCGAGGCAUGUUAGCUUAUAGAGCGCCGGAUCAAAAGACGCGGACAAUGAUGUACCAUGACGUUAUUAAUUCAAAUAUUGCAUUUUAGAUUUGAUUAAAGAUCGUGACAUGACCCAUGAUGCACUUUGGUCCGCCUCUUGUCCGUGCGGCUCCCCCCAUUUUUUUUUUAUUGCUAGGGCGUGUGUACGUAGGAAUUCAAUUAAAUUCAAUGUCAUAUUUAACGUGGGUCUUGCUGAUCCAAAUGUCAGGAGACAUUGACUUAUGAUUCAAACGUAAACAUAAUUUGCAUAAGGAGUUUUAUAAAGCAUGACAAUAAAAACAAUCAUGCAUUGAUCUUACC